UACAGAGGGUGCAAGCGUUGUUCGGAAUUAUUGGGCGUAAGGGCGCGUAGGCGGUGCGGUAAGUCUGUAGUGAAAUCUCUGGGCUCAACUCAGAGUCUGCUGCAGAAACUGCCGUGCUUGAGUGUGGGAGAGGUGAGUGGAAUUCCUGGUGUAGCGGUGAAAUGCGCAGAUAUCAGGAAGAACACCCGUGGCGAAGGCGGCUCUCUGGAACGCAACUGACGCUGAAGACGCGAAAGCGUGGGGAGCAAACAGG
rnacentral:rRNA from 1 species